GGACAGGUUGGUCACAUGUGGGACUGGGGCUCAUUCCCCCAGUUUGGUACAAGAAGACAUUCCUUGAGACCCAAGGAGGAUUAGCUGGAAGGGCCUGUUUCAUAUCAAUGUAAUGGUCCUGGACUGUCUUCUCUGAUGAUCCUGCGACUCAUGAGAGAGCAGCCAGGUGUGCUCAGGAUGCCUGCGAGGCAGGGGUGAAAUCCAGCAGGUUCUGACAGGUUCUGGAGAACCAGUAGUGGAAAUUUUGAGCAGUUCAGAGAACCGGUAGUGGAAAUUUUAAGUGGUUUGGAGAACAGGCAAAUACCAACUCUGGCUGGCCCCAGGAGCGGGUAGGGAAUGGAGAUUUUGCAAUAUCCUUCCCCCUGGAGUGGUAAUGGAGGUUUUGCAGUAUCCUUCCCCCAGGAGUGGAGAGGGAAUGGGGAUUUUGCAGUAUCCUUCCCCUGGAGUGGGGUGGGAAUGGAGAUUUUGCAGUAUCCUUCCCCUGGAGUGGGGAGGGAAUGGAGAUUUUGCAUUAUCCUUCCCCUGCUAUACCCACCAAGCCACAGAACUGGUAGUAAAAAAAAUUGGAUUUCACCACUGCUGCAAGGCACUUCUGCACCCCCAGGUGAGCAUUCCGGGCAUGCUCCAGAAUGCUCCCUUCCCUGAAAGGGAAACUGCUGGAGGGCCAGCAUGCGUCUCUUUCUAAGUAGAAGAUGAGCAAAGGCAAUGGAGGCAGAGCAUUUAAACAUCCCAGACAUACAUUCCUUGUUGAUCUCUUGUAUUUACCUUUCCCUUUGAGUGCUCCAGGUACCACACAUGUAACAUUUGGGAGCCAGUUUGGUCUAGUGGUUAAUACACCAGGCUAGAAAGCACCAGAAUGUGAGUUCAAGUCCUGCUUGAGCCGUGAAAGCCGGCUGGGUGACUGACUCAGCCUGACCCACCUCACAGGGUUGUGGUGGGGAAAAUAGGAAGAGGAAGGUGUGUUCCUUAGAACUUAGGGCUUCAGGCUGAGCUCUCCACAGGAGGGGGGGAAUCUGAAAGGGGGCUGAGCUCCGCAUUUGGGCACCGCCUGUUUUCUUGCCCCACAUCUUCGUUCCCACCACGAAGGAAGUGAAAGGUCGCCCUUCCUCCGCCAGGCUAGCAGCUGCGGGCACAUUGGCCUUUUACCCGGAGAGCCUUGGCGCCAGGUGGGUCUCCGGAGCGAGAGGGGCUCCAGGCCGGACGCCCCACCAGAACGGCCUCUCCGAGCGUUCCUCAUCCUCCCAUACACGGUUGCCCGCUUGCCAUGGAGACCGAGCUGGCCGCGCUUGCUCAACGGGGGCUUUCCACCCUCUAAAGGCGUCGGGGAAUUUCCCCAGCGCCGGCCUCGGAAGGGAGGAGCUUCUGCGCCUUGGCCGGCUCUAAGAGCGGACCGAGGAGCCUCCGGGGCUUACAGGGCAAGGCCAGCCGGACCGCCCCGGUUAGGAAGGCCGCGGCCGCAGCUGCCGGAGCAUGGCCACCGGAGCAGAGGCGGAGCCGGCCUUUCUACCGCUCCCUGGACGGGGCAGACGGCCGCUCUUCUCCCGCAGCCGAACGGCCGCCCAGGGGCCCAGCUGAACAGUCCGGGAGCGGCCGUGGGCAGCGACUGAGAAGCUCCGAAGCCGGCAGCAGGUUCUGCCCCGACGGCCUUUGCCCAACCUCGACCGCAAGGACGUCGUCGAGCCAGGCCACGAGCCGCCUCCGGGAAGCCGGUCACGAAGCUCUGCUCCGCUCCGCUCGACCGGCCCAGGAACCCGGGAGCCCGCCCGCUCAGAAAAGGCAGCCGUCGAAGCACUAACCAUGGCCGGCGCUGGGAAUUGGAGCGGACCAGCGGCGCCUCCACCCUAGCAGCGUCCUCUGGUCGCCCGGGGCGAGGGAAGGCGGGACCUGCUGCUCCCCUGUAGCACUCCACCCCCGCGCCCCCCUCCGGGGGCGGGACGCGGCGCUCGCCUCGGGGCAGGUCGCUUCCCCUAACUCAGGCGCCGUUCGGGAAAGGCAAUCCGGCGGCCGCCGCUUCCCCGCCCUUGUGACUUUUACCCACCGGGAGCAGCUCUUCUGCCUCUGGGGCCCCUGUGGCCGCAGGUCCCGCUUGGCUCCAAGGAGGCGGGGGGGGGGUGACCCGGCACCCCAUGUCGGCGCCCCGCCUGCCCUGAUCGGGCCCCCAGGCAAACUCAGUGGGCCCAGGGCCCCAAGGCAUUCCAAAGAAGGGGCAGGGGGAGGGGCCGCUGCGCACCUCUAAGUAGAAGAACCAAGGCACCAAAACUGCUGUUGGACGGAUUGAUGUGCAUCUUGCUUCUCAGCAAAGAUACGGAGCAUCUUUCUUUCAGGAUCGCCAAAUGGAAGCCAAAUGGGCAUUGCAACCUUCACUAGGGAACAACUCAGCCUGCAAGGAUGGCAUCUCAGUUCAAUCAGAAUAGAGCUGAAAGGGACCUUGGAGGUCUUCUAGUCUCAAGCAGGAGACCCUACAGCAUUUCAGACAACUGACUGUCCAGUCUUUUCUUAAAAACCCCCCAGGGAUGAAGGAGCCACAACCUCUGGAGGCAACUUCUGUUCCACUGGUUACUUGUCCUCACUGUCAGGAAAUUUCUCAUUAGUUUCAGGUUGCUUCUCUCCCUGAUUAGUUUCCUUCCUUUGUUUAUUGUCCUGCCCUCUGGUGGUUUGGAAAAUAAAUUUUUGAAGAUGGGAACCACAUCAGCUCCUUUUUGAAAUAUAUUGCACAACGGCUUUAAGAUAACAUCUGCCAGUGCCUUCAGAACUCUGGGAUGUAAUCCAUCAAGUCCCGGUGAUUUAUAUCCAAGAUCAGACAGGUGUUCUCUAAUCAUUUUCUUGCAUAUUUUAAUUUUUAUUUCUAGUCUGUCUUUUACAGUCAGGUUUUGGUAGGUUGGGCUACAGUUUCUUUUUGCAUGAAAAGACGGAUGCAAAGAAUGAAUUAAGCAGUUCUGUUUUCUCUCUGCUUCUUCCUUGCCAUCUUCUAUUAAGUGGACCUACUGGUUUUUUAAAACUUUUUUUCUUGUUCUUUAUAUUUUGAAACUUUUUUUAUUACCUUUGACAUUUGUUGCAAUUCUUUGUUUACGCUGAGCCUUUGCUUUCCUAUAUAUCUUUCAUAUCUUUGCAUAUUCUGGCUAUCUGCUGAUACUCUGCCUUAGCUAUGUGUUCCUCUUUCCAUUUUUUGUACUUAUCCUUUUUGACUUUCAGUUUAUUAGAGAGAUCUUUGUGCAACCAUGCUGGUUUUUUCCUUGGAUUACUUGUUUUUCUUUCCCAGUGGUGUUUUGUUGGGAUGAGAAGCAAAAUGUCUUCAAGGAAAAACCCAGAAAGUCCAGUUUCCUGUUGAAAAAGGACCUUUGGGACAACCGUGACCCGGAUGACUGAGAAUCUCCAUAGACAGGCAGCCACAGCCAACUCAGUGCGCUCUAUUAAUUGCCAUCACCACUACCACAUGAUUACCCAGCUAUGCCCACCCAGUCACAUGACCACCAAGCCAUGCCCAUCAAACAAGCCACGCCCAUAGAACUAGUAGUAAAAAAAUUCUGGAGCCCACCCCUGUUGUGCAUGUGUGUGUGGGUGAGAAACACUCACACACACACACACACACACACACACACACACACGUGCACAUGUUACCUCCACCCACCCCUGAUCAAACUGCCCGUAAUUUGGCUGUUGGGGAUUUAAGGAGGUAACUGGUUGGGGAGCUGCUCCUUGGCCUAGGCUACCCCCAGAAGGAAAGAUCUGGCCCAGAAAGUCCUUUGUUCUGGGGACACAACUGGGGCAGGGAGGGGUGCACCUGGGCACCACCCACUCCCUGUGGUCUCCCAGAUACCAAGAGCCGGGACACCCUCCCACAAGCCAGUAGCCAAAUACCUGACAUUCCUGGGAGCCCAGUCACACCUGAGGCAUGUGGGGAGGAAAGGACAGGAUUUCCCAGGUUUGCCUUUCUGCUUCCAGAGCCAGAGAGGAGCUGAAUGGAGAAGCACUGCCGUUCAUCUUGGAGGGGGGGAGGAGGACGGGAGGGAGCAGAUCCAAGGUGCAGCCCCAGGUCAUUCUGUUUCUCUGCUUAGGUAAGACAAGAUCUCUGAAACCAUCACCCUGCAAAGCUUGGGCUGCCUAGCAUACAUUGUGGUUAUGAUUCAGUGCCAUUUUCUGGCUUCGUUCGGUGACCAAGCUUGGCAUGGUGUCCUCACUCGACCCCUAAAGUGAGGUGAGGGCCAGGCAAUGUCAUUUAUACCUUUAUGCAUGUAAGGGUGGUCUAUACCAGGGGUCUCCAAGCUUUGCUGGCUGAGGAAUUCUGCGAGUUGAAGUCCACAAGUCUUAAAGUUGGCAAAGUUGGAGACCCCUAGUCUAGACUGAAUUGUCCAGCCUUAAGGAGACCCUGGUAUAGCAGGUGAUUUGGACCCUCUUGAAAUGCACGAAUGGACCAUCAGUGAGAAGACAUUGUCCCACUUGAUAGAAGACACAAAACAGUAACAAAUCUAACAGAAAGUAACGAGAUUUAGCACAGGGAUGGAGGGAAAUGUUUUUCUUCUUCUGGUGCUCAGCUGGGAAUUCAGAGACCAGUUGCUAGCCUCUCUACCAUUUUCUUGGCCAGACAAACAGCCAGAAACCCAGGGGUUGGAGUUCCCGUGGCAGUUUCUCAGUUUCCCGUGGCAGCCAACACAGGGAGGGGGCAAUUCUGAGAAUCGAAGUCACCCAUCUUAAAGUCACUGAAGUUGAGACGCACCACCUGCGUGACGUUUUCAGAAAUCCAAGUGCUUCCUCCAACUUGAAGAACUCCCAGGUUGCAUUCCCACAACAUUUACCAUAUUGCUGAUCCUCCUCAUUUCUGAAUCCAGAGCUCCAGCUUGGGGUGGGGGGAAGUGGGGAGUUGCGCACCUACAGAAUGGCAACUUUUGGGACCAAAAACAGCUCGUCUCUAAGAAGACAAAACUUCAUACUUUAGAACUGAAACAAUGACCCAGAGCAGAUGGCUCUUCACUCUUGGAAUGAUUAAUCUGAGUUUAAUUUGCUAAUUAAGCAAAGCCAUCGUUGAAAUGUCACAACUACAUCAAGCCAGGGAUGUAAUCCUAUUGUAACCUGUCUCAAAAUAAACAUUGGUUGAGGAAGCCUCUCGCCAAUCAGAAAGCAAGCAGA